rnacentral:rRNA from 1 species
AACGAACGCUGGCGGCAGGCCUAACACAUGCAAGUCGAGCGCCCCGCAAGGGGAGCGGCGGACGGGUGAGUAACGCGUGGGAACGUACCCUUUGCUACGGAAUAGCCUCGGGAAACUGGGAGUAAUACCGUAUGUGCCCUUCGGGGGAAAGAUUUAUCGGCAAAGGAUCGGCCCGCGUUGGAUUAGGUAGUUGGUGGGGUAAUGGCCUACCAAGCCGACGAUCCAUAGCUGGUUUGAGAGGAUGAUCAGCCACACUGGGACUGAGACACGGCCCAGACUCCUACGGGAGGCAGCAGUGGGGAAUCUUAGACAAUGGGCGCAAGCCUGAUCUAGCCAUGCCGCGUGAGCGAUGAAGGCCUUAGGGUUGUAAAGCUCUUUCAGGGGGGAAGAUAAUGACUGUACCCCCAGAAGAAGACCCGGCUAACUCCGUGCCAGCAGCCGCGGU